rnacentral:rRNA from 1 species
AUUGAACGCUGGCGGCAUGCUUUACACAUGCAAGUCGAACGGUAACAGGCCUUCGGGUGCUGACGAGUGGCGAACGGGUGAGUAAUGCAUCGGAACGUGCCCAGAGGUGGGGGAUAACGCAGCGAAAGCUGUGCUAAUACCGCAUGUGAUCUGAGGAUGAAAGCGGGGGACCAGGCAGCAAUGUUUGGCCUCGCGCCUUUGGAGCGGCCGAUGUCAGAUUAGGUAGUUGGUGGGGUAAAGGCCUACCAAGCCGACGAUCUGUAGCUGGUCUGAGAGGACGACCAGCCACACUGGGACUGAGACACGGCCCAGACUCCUACGGGAGGCAGCAGUGGGGAAUUUUGGACAAUGGGCGCAAGCCUGAUCCAGCAAUGCCGCGUGCGGGAAGUAGGCCUUCGGGUUGUAAACCGCUUUUGUACGGAACGAAAAGGCUCUGGCUAAUACCUGGGGCUGAUGACGGUACCGUAAGAAUAAGCACCGGCUAACUACGUG